AAGGCCCAGCUUGCUGGGUUGGAUGAGUGGCGAACGGGUGAGUAACACGUGAGUAACCUGCCCUCUUCUUUGGGAUAACGGUCGGAAACGGCUGCUAAUACCGGGUAUUCACUGUCCUCCGCAUGGGGGGUGGUGGAAAGGUUUUUUCUGGUGGGGGAUGGGCUCGCGGCCUAUCAGCUUGUUGGUGGGGUGAUGGCUUACCAAGGCUUUGACGGGUAACCGGCCUGAGAGGGUGACCGGUCACAUUGGGACUGAGAUACGGCCCAGACUCCUACGGGAGGCAGCAGUGGGGAAUAUUGCACAAUGGGCGAAAGCCUGAUGCAGCGACGCCGCGUGAGGGAUGGAGGCCUUCGGGUUGUAAACCUCUUUCGCUCAUGGUCAAGCCGCAACUGUGGUUGUGGUGAGGGUAGUGGGUAAAGAAGCACCGGCUAACUACGUGCCAGCAGCCGCGGUAAUACGUAGGGUGCGAGCGUUGUCCGGAAUUAUUGGGCGUAAAGGGCUUGUAGGCGGUUUGUCGCGUCUGCCGUGAAAUCCUCUGGCUUAACUGGGGGCGUGCGGUGGGUACGGGCAGGCUUGAGUGCGGUAGGGGAGACUGGAACUCCUGGUGUAGCGGUGGAAUGCGCAGAUAUCAGGAAGAACACCGGUGGCGAAGGCGGGUC
rnacentral:rRNA from 1 species